GAUGAACGCUGGCGGCGUGCCUAAUACAUGCAAGUCGAGCGAACGGCCGCGAAGUUUGCUUGUCUGACGUUUGCGGCGGGCGGGUGAAUCACGCGUGGAUCCCCUACUUAUAUGUCUGAGAUCACUUCGGGACAGCGGAGCUAAUCCCGGAUAAUCUUUUGCUCCGCGUGGUUCAAUGGUGAAUGUCGGUCUUGCUGUCUCUUCUAGAUGGAUCCGCGCUGCAUUGGCUAGUUGGUAGGGUAACGGGUUACCAAGGCAACGAUGCCUAUCCGACGUGACAGGGUGAUCGGCCACACGGGAGGAGAGACAGGGACCAGACUCCUACGAGAGGCAGCAGUAGGGAAUCGGCCGCAAUGGGGGAAAGCCUGACGGAGCAACGCCGCGUGAGUGAUGAAGGUGCUCGGAUCGGAAAACUCUGUUAUUAGGGAAGAACAGAUGUGGAAUUAACCGUGCACAUCGUGACGGUACCGAAUCAGAAAGCCACGGCUAACUACGUG
rnacentral:rRNA from 1 species